rnacentral:piRNA from 1 species
UCAGUGAUCAGCGUGUCCUGUGACACAUA